rnacentral:rRNA from 1 species
GACGUAGGGCGCGAGCGCUGCCCGGAUUUAUUGGGCGUAAAGAGCGUGUAGGCGGCCAUGUAGGUCCGUUGUGAAAACUCGAGGCUCAACCUCGAGACGCCGAUGGAAACCAUGUGGCUAGAGUCCGGAAGAGGAGAGUGGAAUUCCUGGUGUAGCGGUGAAAUGCGCAGAUAUCAGGAAGAACACCCGUGGCUAAGGCGGCUCUCUAGUACGGUACUGACGCUGAGACGCGAAAGCGUGGGGAGCGAACAGG